rnacentral:rRNA from 1 species
GAUGAACGCUGGCGGCGUGCCUAAUACAUGCAAGUCGGGCGGACAGAUGAGGCGCUUGCUCCUCUGACGUUAGCGGCGGAGGGGUGAGUAACACGUGGAUCACCUCCCUAUCAGACGGAGAUAACUUGGAAACAGCGGCGCAAAUACCGGAUAAACUCUUGAUCCACGUUGGUCAAUAGUAAAAGACGGCUUUGCGGUCACUUAUCGCUGCAUCCGAGCCGGAUUAGCUGGUUGGUAAGGUAACGGCUUACCAAGGCAACGAUGCGUAGCCGACCGGAGAGGCGGAUCGGCCACACUGGAACGUAGACAGGCACCAGACUCCUACGAGAGGCAGCAGUCGCGUAUCUUCCGCAAUGGGCGAAAGUCUUACGCAACAACGCCGCGUGAGAUAUGAAGGUCUUCCGAGCGUAAAGCCCUGUUAUUAGUGAUGAACAAAUUUGUAAUUAACCAUACCCUUCUUGACGGUACCGAAUCAGAAAGCCCCGGCUAACUACGUG